CCAAUUACGAUGACUGCUAUCACAGUUCAAUGAACAAUAUAUAAGACCGUGUACGAGAACUUAGACUUCUAUAUGGGUUAUACUAGUACUUGAUGAGAAUUUAGAAAAUAUGUUACAAAUAUAUUCGGAUUUAUAUCAAUCAUGAGGGUUUGGAUGGGGUUAAAUGAUUAAAGAAUAAUGCCCUUAAAAAAUAAAGAUUAGAGAAUAACGGAAAAAAAAUGAAGAUUAGAGAAAAAAGGGGUUAAUUUUUUGAAGAUUAGAGAAAAAAGGGGUUAAUUUUUUGAAGAAUAGAGAAAAAAGGGGUAAAAAUUAAAUGUUUACAGAAUAACACCCCCCACCCCCCCACCCCCCCAACCUCCCAACCCCAUCCAGACCCUCAAUCAUACAUUAUGUUUACGCUGUAAUAUCAGCCGCUGUUUACCUUUAAUUAGAUUUCAU
rnacentral:lncRNA from 1 species